rnacentral:rRNA from 1 species
CCUACGGGAGGCAGCAGUGAGGAAUAUUGGUCAAUGGGCGCGAGCCUGAACCAGCCAAGUAGCGUGAAGGAUGACUGCCCUACGGGUUGUAAACUUCUUUUAUAAAGGAAUAAAGUGAGGCACGUGUGCCUUUUUGUAUGUAUUUUAUGAAUAAGGAUCGGCUAACUCCGUGCCAGCAGCCGCGGUAAUACGGAGGAUCCGAGCGUUAUCCGGAUUUAUUGGGUUUAAAGGGUGCGUAGGCGGCCUUUUAAGUCAGCGGUGAAAGUCUGUGGCUCAACCAUAGAAUUGCCGUUGAAACUGGGGGGCUUGAGUAUGUUUGAGGCAGGCGGAAUGCGUGGUGUAGCGGUGAAAUGCUUAGAUAUCACGCAGAACCCCGAUUGCGAAGGCAGCCUGCCAAGCCAUGACUGACGCUGAUGCACGAAAGCGUGGGGAUCAAACAGGAUUAGAUACCCGUGUAGUC